UUGUAAAUUCAAAAUUUACAACAUGAAACAGAUCUGAUUGGUUACCUUGACGGUCUUACACGUGAACCGUUCAAGACCAGUUCUCUGAACGUGGGUGUUUUUCCUCCCUUUUCAAUGUAAAAGAAGGUGAAACUAUCGACAAGCUGUUGGGUGUUUGGACCAUCUGUGUCACUGAUAUUAAUAUCUAUUCGUGCACUUCCCUACAAUGUGUAAUUUUAAUCGAAAAUGAAUAAUUAAAAAAUAUUAAUUGUAAUAGUUUUAAAAAUAACUUUAAAAUGUACUAAUAUACUAGUACGUUAAAGUACACCAUAUUAAGAAAUAACCAUUCUAAAAAUACGAAAUUAACAGUAUUUGGCCAUGAAAUACACUUAACUUUCGUGUGAAUAUGAAAACUAUAAGAAAAAAUCCCAUGCCAGGCCCGAACUCAUAAGAUAAAGUAUUCAAAGUUGUUCCAUACAAAAGCAAUGAAAAUAUACAUAUUAUUUAAUUUGAAAGCUGAUGUACUAAGUAAAUGACUGUCGUUUUAUAUUUUUGAUGACUUAGCAGUGUAUCAACAAUAAACACACCUUCCAUUCUGAAAUAACCAGUACAUUCUGUCCAUUCUCAUUGAAGACAAGUUCCGGUGGUUGGUCUACAUCUUGUUGGGUGGAAUGGCACCAGGAGCUACACAACGAAAGAAAAAAGAUUUAUACUGAGAUGAAAAUCAUGACAGUUUCACUCAAUGAUCUUUGAUGGAAUAUUCUGACGUCAUUGUGGUUAUAAAUAAAGACGUAUGACACGGUUCCAAAAAUCAGCUAGCUACUUGCUGUGAUUCAUUCACUAUAGUAUUCGUCGGUCCCAGUAUAUUCAUUCUUUGAGGAUUUUGUUGAAACGAACAGAUAAAGACUUCCUUGUCCUGUUUUUGCCAAACAAGGAUUGCAAUGCGUCAUGAUUCAUAGAAGAAAUACAAAUUCUGCCAAUGUUUUAUAAACAUCCUGUAUCGCCAAAUGCCGUGCGAAUCAAACAAUCAUUGUGUUUAAAAUUGACCUUUCAAAUUCAAAGAGUUGCCACUGCCAAGCAAUUUCAAAGAUCGAAAACUGUUUUACCAAAUGGAGCUAUACUUGGAAAAUUGUUCAUUUUUUCUGUAUUUUAUGCCCUGGAAGAUCUUUGGUAGAACUUUGGUAUUUGGCUAUAACUUUCAAACCGUAGUGAGUAACGUCUACAAGUAUGGCAUGCAUAUUUUACAAUCAACGCUCUUUGAAAAGUAUUUAUAUCAAAGAAUUGUGUUCUUCCAUUUGUCUUUAACAAAUGUACUGUAUUGUUACCGAUUAUCAUCUUUUGUCUACGAUCUUACCUUUCUGUGCAAAUAGCAAAUCAGACCUGUAAUCAUUUGAGUUUAUAAUAAAAAUAUUAUUUUUUU
rnacentral:sRNA from 1 species